UACGUAGGGUGCAAGCGUUAAUCGGAAUUACUGGGCGUAAAGCGUGCGCAGGCGGUGAUGUAAGUCAGAUGUGAAAUCCCCGGGCUCAACCUGGGAACUGCAUUUGUGACUGCAUUGCUGGAGUGCGGCAGAGGGGGAUGGAAUUCCGCGUGUAGCAGUGAAAUGCGUAGAUAUGCGGAGGAACACCGAUGGCGAAGGCAAUCCCCUGGGCCUGCACUGACGCUCAUGCACGAAAGCGUGGGGAGCAAACAGG
rnacentral:rRNA from 1 species